rnacentral:snRNA from 1 species
AUCACUUCUCUGCUUCUUGGCUAAGAUCAAGUGUAGUAUCUGUUCCUAUCAGUUUAAAACGGUGAUAAUGAUGAAGUCUUUUUAAUACACUGGUGUCCAAACGUUUUACCAAAUUUUAUUAUACAAAUGUUCAUGUUCACACUUU